rnacentral:siRNA from 1 species
GGUCUCGUCCCGUGUACUUGAGCA